UGGGGAAUAUUGGACAAUGGGCGAAAGCCUGAUCCAGCAAUACCGCGUGUGUGAAGAAGGCCUUCGGGUUGUAAAGCACUUUAAGUUGGGAAGAAAAAGCUUCACCUAAUACGUGGAGCCUUGACGGUACCGACAGAAUAAGCACCGGCUAACUCUGUGCCAGCAGCCGCGGUAAUACAGAGGGUGCUAGCGUUAAUCGGAUUUACUGGGCGUAAAGCGUGCGUAGGCGGUUUGAUAAGUCGAUUGUGAAAGCCCCGGGCUCAACCUGGGAAUUGCGGUCGAUACUGUCAGACUCGAAAACGGUAGAGGGAGGUGGAACUCCAGGUGUAGCGGUGAAAUGCGUAGAUAUCUGGAAGAACACCGAUGGCGAAGGCAGCCUCCUGGGCCUGUUUUGACGCUG
rnacentral:rRNA from 1 species